AAAAAACGGCACAGCUCCCCUUUUAAGUGGCUGCCAUGAUAAGAGCCGUUCGAAUUGUCUAAGUGAUAUGGAAAGGUGCUUCAUUGCUUCCUUUGUUACCUCCUUUAGCAUAGGAUACACUGGACCAUCCUUUACGAAAAGGAAAGGAG